GAUGAACGCUGGCGGCGUGCCUAAUACAUGCAAGUCGAGCGAACAGACGAGGAGCUUGCUCCUCUGACGUUAGCGGCGGACGGGUGAGUAACACGUGGAUAACCUACCUAUAAGACUGGGAUAACUUCGGGAAACCGGAGCUAAUACCGGAUAAUAUAUUGAACCGCAUGGUUCAAUAGUGAAAGACGGUUUUGCUGUCACUUAUAGAUGGAUCCGCGCCGCAUUAGCUAGUUGGUAAGGUAACGGCUUACCAAGGCAACGAUGCGUAGCCGACCUGAGAGGGUGAUCGGCCACACGGGAACUGAGACACGGUCCAGACUCCUACGGGAGGCAGCAGUAGGGAAUCUUACGCAGUGGGCGAAAGCAUGACGGAGCAGCGCCGCGUGAGUGAUGAAGGUCUUCGGAGCGUAAAACUCUGUUAUUAGUGAAGAACAAAUGUGUAAGUAACUAUGCACGUCUUGACGGUACCUAAUCAGAAAGCCACGGCUAACUACGUG
rnacentral:rRNA from 1 species